GAACACGCCAAAAAUCGAAGACCUUUCCUUGAGCUAGGGACACGUGAAAAGUGUGAUUCUUUCCCAUCUUAAAAAAUCUGACCCUUUUGAAAUAAAAAGAGAAUCGAACAACAAGGACGAUCAGAUUUUCACACCCAAGCUCCCAUUUUUUCAUCCCAGACGCUCCCCCUUCAACAGAAAAUCAGAGGCUCCCCAUUUUCGCUCUCUGCUUCUUCUCCUUUCGUCAUUUUUUCUCUUCAACACAGGAUGAUUUUUGAGAAUUUACACACUCCUUCACUCACACUCACACGACUUCCAAAUAAAAAGAGCUUGAAAUUCAAAAAUCAGAGAUUCCGAAACCAAAUGUGAAGAAGUCUGAAACGGAGAAGGAAAAGCAGUAGAUUUCUGGGUGGAUUUUAAAUUCAAAAUAGUUUUGAGAUGUAGCUGUUUUGGAGCCACAAUUUCACUUGUGUUUUUGAUUUUUCAAAGUGGAUUCAAUGAUUCAAGAUCUGAAGUUAUGUGUUGCUUAUGCUGCGCUCCAAGCUAUGGAUUCCGAACAUAUGUUCGACCUCCUUGGCUUCUAAAUAGGAUUCCAGCUAAUAGGUAUGAUUAUACAGUUGCUUUGUUGUUUUUUGUUCACUGAAUCGUGAAUGGGAUUUGGGUUGAUACGUUUCUAUCUAAUUUUGAGAUUCCAUGUGUUUAAUCAUAUGAAAUAAUUGGAAUCUCUCCCUCUGUUAAAUUCUAAUUUCUGAAAGCAUGUCAAUGGGUGAAUUAAAUAUUGGCUUGGUUGCAUUGUUUGAAUCUAGUAUAGGCUCGGUGGAGUCCUCUUAUAUUGAAAGUUGAUGGUUCAUUUGCUCACAUGAGUAGUUUAAUUAUUCUAAAAUGAUUCUUGCUGAAAUAAAGUUGUAUGUCCUUCACGGCUAAAUUAUACUGUUGCCAUCACUGAUUUAGUUCUAUUGUGAUUUCACGUGAACAUCAACUUUGAAUCAAUUGUAGUAGUCCUGUCCCAUUUUUUGGUAGAAUUAUUCAGCAUUUUUGUGAUGAAGAGGCUUAAUUAAUUGUGUUUUGAAAAUGAACCAUAUCUGUCUUAGUCAUAAAUGAUUACAUAUUGGUUGUUACCUUGUGUCUCCUGCCACAGUCGCUGCUUGCAACUCCAACUUCUUCAUUGUCCAAGCAAAACCUCUUGGUGUAUUUUUUUACGUUUUUUACUUGUUGAUUUAAAGGAGCAGACCAAUAUUUAGUUAGUUGACCUGCUAUGUCCUUGCUUUUGGGAAAAGAUUGAAGAAUGGUUCAUAAAACUGAUUUAUUUAUUAUUGGAAUUCGUUGGUACCAAAGACGUGCUCGUCUUCAGCGCCAAGUAAACGAGCUAAAGAUCACUUUACUCCAGCCAAUAUUUAGUUAGUUAAGAACUUGAAAUAUGUAUUAAUUUUAUAUCCUCUAUUACUUUAUCAGUGUUUGGACAAAGUAUUAAUAAAUUUGAGGCAUGCCAUGUCAAAUAAAAUCUUAAAAUCCAUGGCCCUCACUUGAUUAAUUUUAGUCCUUAGAAAUUGAGGCGCGCUAUUUAGCAAAUUUUCAUGGCACUCGCAAAGUUUAUAAUACGCCAGUCGCUUUAGGCGCGCUUUUAAAUAAUUUUACUUUCCUAAAUAUGGGUGCACAUUUAUGUGAGCCAAAUCAAAUCUCAACGAAGUCGAAAUGUGUCGACAACCACAGGUGCAUUGAAGUAACGUGGUUCGAGGUGUGUUUUCACGAUCUUGCAAUUUAAUAAUUAUAAUAAAAGCGAUUUGAAGUUAAAAAGCACAUAAGUUAUAACAUGUAUUAAAAUCAGAUACUUAGCCAUUUACAACAGUUUAAGCGACGGUGCUAGAACCACGAGAUCCGGGGUACCUAACACCUUCCCUCAGGUCAACAGAAUUUCUUGCUCAGAAUUUUUGGUUCGUAGACUUCAAUUGGGAAUUUUCCUCGGAUUGGGAUUCAUGAUAAAUCGACGACUCCGGACACCAAAAGCCAAACCUUUUCCAAGUGGCAACUCUAAUAAAUAAAUAAUCCCGAUUAGAAUAAUGUCACUUAAAAUGGAAAAAAUCCCUCAUACGCUAUCCUUCAGGGUGGUUGUAAAAAGGAGGUGUGACAGCUCUGGCGACUCUGUUGGGGAAAAGAACCCAGAACGUUUUGUUCAGGGUUUAGAAUUCACGAUUAUAAUAAAUUGUUGUAAUUGCUUAUAUUUGAUUUUCUCACAUGUUUCAUUCUUAAUGUGCUAAAUGUUUACUGCUUUAAUAUUAUCUGAAUUGUAUAUAAACUGUGCCAAAACCCUUCUCUUCUCACCUCCGGAGAUGUGCUUAUUGGUUGCGACUCCCUAUUCUGUUAGUGUCAUACCCCGAAAUAAGAAAUAGGCUCGGAUAACUUACAAAGCCGGACGAUCUCGCGGGUCCCCGGUACUUAUCCCCCUCCUCGACUCAAGUUGUUCGCUCGGGCACAGUGCGUGAACACAUACCUAGGUUUUGAAACUAGAAUAACGUGACUUCAUGCCGGAUCCUUAAUAGGAGCAAUUAUUUGCAUCAUGCUGCAUUUUACUUAAGGGACUCAACACAUGGGUUGGGUCCGUCUAUAACUAGCAACCUAAAAUGAAAAAGACCAUUUUGAUGCGUCCUGCUUAUUUUCCGUGUAUCUGUUUGUUUCGGCUUGCAUGUUGACCGCCUUCUAGGAUAGAGGAAGAAAGUGAAAAAAAAGUGAGAGGUAGGUAUUUAGAAAUUUCUGAAACUUUGCCAAAAUUCUUGAAAAAAAGAAGAAGAAAGAACAGAAAAGUCAUUUCAAAAUGAGACAAAAUUUCAAAAGUCAUUUCACCGGAUGUGAGAUACGUAGGCAAACCUCAUCGGUUCCGACCCCAAUUUUCAAAAAAUCCAAAAAAAAAAUUCUUUUGUUCUUCUUUAGAAAAUUCAAAAAAAUCAGAAAUAAAAAGAAUAAAAAAAAUUAUUUUCCUUGUUUAAAAGUCUUUCUUUCAUAACUAUCAAAAAGAAUUAUUGAAAAAUUAAAGUCCAAAAAUAUUUUUUUUCUUUAGAAGUACUUUUGUAAUAAAUAAAAACUCAGAAAUCCAGAAUAUUUUCUUAAAAGUCCCUCUUUCGAAAAUUAAGAGGUAAUAUUCAAAAUUCAAAAAUAUUUUCUUUCUUCCUUAGAAAAAGGUAAAGCAAAUGAAAAUUCAAACAAAAUAUAUAUUUUUCUUUUACUUUUGAAAUUCCCAAGUUCAAAGCAAGAGCAAAUGAAUUUUUAGAGUCUUUCUUUCAAAAACAAAAUAAAAAAUAAAAUCAAAAGCAAAAAAGCAGAACAUAAAAAAAAUAUUUCCUUUCUUCUUUUAAUGCAUUUAAAAAAAAUUAGUUUAUUCACUCUAUUCUCGAUCUUCCCGAACUACGCAAGAUUCGAUUCAUGCGGGAUCAUGAUACGUAGGCAAUCCCCAUCGGAUUCGAUCAGAACAAAAAAUAAACUGAAAAAAAAAGAAAGAAAAUUGAGUGAAAAAUAAAAGAUAGUGACGAAAAAACAAACAAUAAAAAAAGAAAAAGAAAAAAGAGAGUGCCAAAAAAUAAAAGAGCGGCAAAAACAAGAUCAAGACUGAUUUGUAACGACCCGCCUGGUCGUUUUACUAUUUAGAACCCAAUUCCCUUAAAUAAAAAUUUCCCACGCCUUCCUUAGCUAAAUAAUGACUUGCGGGAGCGAUCAGUUCGGAAGUUAGAAGAGUUUGAGUGAAAAUAAGAACCAAAUAUUCACUUAAGGUUUUCUUAAAAAGCCAGUAUUGACUUCGAUCAACUUUCUUGAGAAAUAGAUCCGGAUUAGUGAUUUGAUAGUCCCGGGUGGUCCGUGGAAAAAUAUGGGACCUGGGCGUAUGCUCGGAAUCGAAUUCCAAGGUCCUUAGCCCGAGUACAAAAUUUUUAUGUAUAAUUGUUAAAUCGAAGUUUGAAGGAUUUAAAGAAUCUAAUUAUUUAUUAAAAAAUUAGAUAUCAGGUUUAGAUUUCGGUUCCGAAACUUGGUGCAAGUACAAAAUAUCCGUUAAGACCUACCCGUAAAUUUUGGUUUCAAUCCGAGUAGUCUAAUGGCGUUUUGACCCAUUAGAAGGAAAUUUAGAACUUGAAGUUCACUAAGUUUAAUCAAAUGGUUUUAGGGUCCGAUUCCUUUAUUUAGUGUUGUUUUAGGAAUUCGAGGAUGCGACUAGGUCCGCCUCGUGAUUUCAGACUUGUCGGUAUGUUCGGGCGGGGCUCGGGAGCCUCGAGCGUCAAUUGGUCGAGGUUCAACGAAGUUAGAAUUUUAAGAAGAACAAAACUUGCGGCUUCUGUCAAAAUCGCUUCUGCGGUCCAAGAGUCGCAGAAGCGGAGACCGCAGAAGCGCUCCUUUCAUCACAGAAGCGGCUAGGUCCGUCCAGGGGUAACCGCAAAAGCGGCCAAGGAACCGCAGAAGCGGAAUCCGCUGAUGCGGCCCCAGACCGUAGAAGCGGUCAAUUGUUCGCUGAUGUGGGACCGCAGAAGCAGUCCCCAAACCGCAGAAGCGAAAAUCACAGGGCAGUGAAGCUCAUUUAAUACGAGCUCAAGUGUAUUUAUCUCCCAUUUUCUCCACACUUGGGCGAUUCUUGAACUUCCAAAGAGAGGGUUUCAACAUAGCAUCACAAGGUAAGUAAUCUCCACUCACUCUUAGCUUAAAUACAUAAACACUUCAUAGAUUUAACACUAAAACUCAAAUAAAAUCAAGGGGUAAAACUAGACCUAGGGUUUGGAUAAAAUUAUGAUUUAACCAUCUAAUUAGCCAUGUAAAUAGCACUAUAUAAGCGAUGUUUAGGGUUUUAUUUCACACUUUUGGACUUUGGGAGCUCGGUUUGAGGUGAAUUUUCGGGAAUUUUUCAAGGAAAUCAUAUGAGGUAAGUAAUUCUAACUCGGUUUUGGCUAAUAAUCCAUACAUAUCAUUGAUUUCAUUAUUUGAUAAGUAAUUUGGGAUAGAAUUUGGGGAAAAUUUGUGGAAUUUCAUAAAAUAAACUUUUGGAAUUUGAAAGCCGAUUCGAAGUUGGAAUUGAGUGAAACCAGUAUAGUUAGUCUUGUAAUCGAAUGGGUUAUCAAAUUUUGUGACUUUUGUUGAAUUUUGUGACGUGGACCGGGGGCCCGACUUUUGAGUCGACUUUUUGACAUUUGACCUAAAGUUUAACAUUCUCUUAUGGGAUUGAUUCCUUUAGCUCGUGUUGAGUGUAUCGAAUUAUUUGUGGCUAGAUUCGAGGCAUUUGGAGGUCGAUUCGAGAGGCAAGGGCGUCGAAUAGUAGGAUUUGAUUUGGCUUGAGGUAAGUAACGCUUCCAAACGUGGUUCUGAGGGUUCAAGACCUCGAACUAUGUGUUAUGUGAGUAGUGUUGAGGUGACGCACAUGCCAAGUGAUGGGCGUGCGGGCGUGCACCGUGAGAAUUAUGGCCUGGUUCAUUCCAUGGUGCCGCUUAGUAACCCUUUCUUGUUGAUAUCCGUGUUUCUAUCAUGUGAUUUAGUAAAUGAGCUGUAAAUCGUGCUAGAUAUCAUGUUAGGGCUUCACGCCGAUAUGGAUGAGACCCGAGUGGUUGUUUCUUGCUAUUAUCUCAGUAGUUUCAUUGAUAUUUUGUACUUAGUCUUGUUCAUACAUAUCAUAUCAUGUAUCAUUCUCGGUUGUUAUUAUUUGGCACAUCAUAUCAUUGUUCUGUGCUAGUUUUCAUAGCAUUGUGAGCCCGUGUGUGAGACUGGAGAGUGAUGACUAAGUGAGACCGAGAGCCUGAUUUUGAGUCAUAGUUAUGGGAUCGGGCUGCACGUUGUAGCAGUUAUGUUGAUGAUUAUGAUAGCACUUGGGUUGUAGGAGCCCCUCCGGAGUCUGUAACACACCCCUAGUAAGCGCAAUUGAUAUUAUUGAGGGAUGGAUUUUCCUUAGACAUGAAUCUUGUCCGAAGUAUUUAUACCAGGAGAUGGAUAUUCUCCAAAGGGCUGGAAUGGCCUUCCUCGGUAGUGAGUGACUGUUGUCAGUGAUGUGUAUAUAGUUCGGGAUGGAUUUUCCCUGGGCCGGAGGCCAUAUACAGUACCCGUGGUUGAGCACUUAAGAGUGGAGGUACAUGGUAUAUUCUCAUGCCUUUUGUGCAUUGACACGUGGGGAUUAGCUGAGCUUUAUACUACACAUUGUUCAUAUUUGUAUUUACUUUACUGUUAAGUUGAAAACUUGAACUGCAAGCAUGCCUACUUUACUAUACAAUUUAAUUGUGUUUACCUGUUGAGGUUUAGCUCGUCACUACCUGUCACUCCAGAGUUUGGACUUGUUACUUACUGAGUUGGUGUACUCACGUUACCCCUGCACCUUGUGUGCAAAUCCAGGUACUUUCAGUCCCAGUGGCAGUCAUUGAUCGAGGUUGCAGGCUUUGGAGAUUGUUGAGGUAUCUGCAUGGCGUUCGCUAUUCUAGUUGUGUUUCAGUUGUAUUCAAUAAACACAGUAGUUGACUAUGCUAUUUCUAUACAUGCUCAUGUACUCUGUGACACCCUGGUUUUGGGCUGGUUAUAUCGUAUUAUGAAUUUUACUUUAUGUUUUAAACAGUUAUUUUUAAACGAUAAAAAUUUUCCGCAAAUGAUUUUAAUUUUAGUAUUGUGAUUUUAGAUUACGUGAGUUGAGGCAGACCGACUCCCACAAUAGGCGUCAUCACGACUGAUUUUGGGUACUGGUAAUAUUUUCUCUUGAAAUAACAUCUAAAAUUAAAAAUACUGUACUUUUAUAAAUUGAAAGGAUGAAAUAAAAUGGCAAUGGAUACUUUGGUGCUUUUUGAUUAUCACAUUCAUCAGGCCAAGCCCGUCACGAGCCCAACCUCCACCGCAACAACGCCGCAAACGGCUGACACCACCAAUCGAUUGUCGGCGUCACAGCCGGCAGCCCCCGAAGAAAAAGACUCAAAAAGAUCCCCUCCAAAUCUAUGGCUCAAAACCCUCUGCAAGACUAUGUGCGUCAACGGACUACGAACUUACAUAACUUCGCAAAUCCCACUCCCAGAGCAAAAGAACACACUGAUAAGUUUAGCUGGUGCCAACUACCAAUUUUAGAAGCCCGCCAUUGUUGAAGCCAU
rnacentral:lncRNA from 1 species